UCAAAUAUUGAAGAAUUAACUCAUAUAUCCCCUGAAUAUGGCAGGGAGUUUCUACCGGAAGCCGUAAAUUUCCGACUAUGAGUGAAUAUUAAUAUGUU
rnacentral:ncRNA from 2 species